CUUCAACGCUCCCAACAGGAUCGGCUGGUCGGCCGGCCGGUCCUGGCCGUACGUCGCGAGCAGCGCCUGCGCCUC
rnacentral:antisense_RNA from 1 species